UAAUCAGCUUUGUUCUCAGUGCUGCACAGUAGCCUUGUCCACAUAGACAGGCCAAACAGGGCAGCUGGCUUGCAGUAAGAGCCCAGCAAUGAUUAUUGUGAUGCAUGUUUGUGCCGACCUCCUCCAAGAAUGCAAUGAUUCAAAGUCCACUAAGCUUUUGUUAAAACUGUACCUGUUUUAUUUUAGGUAAAACAAGUGAUGUUUGUUAGGUAAAAAUGAGAUAGUAACACUGAAGGAAACUUCUGUUUUGUUUUUAGCCUGCCUCUCCCUCCAUUUUUGGGUGAGAUCUUUACAUGAGAACUGAAAGGAAUGCCUGGACUGAAGCUGGACAGUUACUUAGUAAGCUGUGUUAGGAAGGUACCAAUAAAAAAGAAGGAUUUCAAAUGAUUUCCGUACGCUAUUUUGAAACAAUGAGAACAGAAUUAUCUAUGAACCAUCUCUGCUUUGAAAGCCACCAGGAGGCCUGGCCUUCCCAGGAGAGCACCAAUAGCAGCAAAGCACUUGGCUACCUCUUUUUCCUUCACAGCUUGGAUUAAUGCCCAAUUUUCAAACAAGAAGGUUGUGGUGUGCCCAACUGACACAGGCAACAGGAGCACUGCAAGAUAAAUUUACAUUUCAUAGUGUGAAACAAACCAUCCCACAAAGAUACGAUAAAUCAUCAGAGGAACAACGAGGUGCCAUGACACAUGCAUAUGUUUUUCAAGUCACAUGAAAUGAAGUUAUGAGGCAUACAACCCAAUCUCCAUCUCAAAGACCACCUAAAGUGUGCAGAGCUACACUGGGGAGACUUGAUCAGAUGCAGUCAUUUGAUACAGCAAAGACAUCCUGCCAAAUCUAAAGUCUUCUAAUGUCUAAGAAACUGGCUUUGUCCCUGUUCCUCUACCAUGACCUUUACUGUGAGACAUCUAUGUGGAUCAGUAGGAAGAAUGGGUUUGGUGUGAGCAAAGGUCAGCUGUGGAUUUUGGAUUUUGCAGAUGUGUGCUUUUGAAGCUCUGUAUUAACACUGUGUUUGAAUCAGUAGCCUCAUCUCAAGCUGUAAUACUGCUGCGCUCAGUUCGGUGCUUUAAUGGCAUUGCAAGCUAUAUUCCAGCCUCUUAACCAUAAUCUGUGUUUUCUUGGCAUUGAAUGUGUGAACAAAUUUGGGAUUUGGGGGUUUCUGGGGGGAGAUGAAUUUCAUCCUGUAGGAGAGGAAAAACUCAAUGUCAUUAAUAAUGGAAAUUCAUAUUAAAUUUGGAUGCUUGUAGUGGAAUUUUAGAUUACGUAUCAAAUUCUCCUGGCCAGGAGGGAAGGGGGGGUGAAAUAUUUAUUCUCAACCAUCCAGGUUUUAGUCACAACCGAUGAAUGCUGAUGGAGUUGAUAAAUGCUUAUCAUAACAUUACAGGUACAUUUAAAGGUACUGGCUGUGUCCCUCUCACAGAUGUAUGUAGUGCACAGAAAAACUCUUAGCCUUUUUUCACUUGAUUUGCCAAAUCCCCAGCCCUGCAGCAGGACUUCCUCCUCUCUGCCCAGCUGUCAGAUGGUGCUCUGGGAUUCAGCCCCUGCACUGCCUGCUCCUCUCCUCUGUACACUGGAUGCCUUUGCUGUCCUAUGACUUGUCUAAUGUGGAGAAGACACCUGGUUGACUGCACAAAGAGCUUUCCCUCAUCCAUCAGUUCAUCUUCUUCCUCCAGCCCUCUGCCAUAAAAUUGGCCUGUGAAAGGGAACAUUGGAAGAAAAAGGACAAAAGCUGGACUGAAGUAAUCAAAGGAAGGGAAGAAGGAAGAGGUGAUGGGAGCACCAGAGCUCAGCUUUUAGGGUGAAGGGAGCUGCACCAAGCAGCUUUCUGUCUUUUACCUGAUGACCAUCCCUCCUGAAGUGCUGAGACUUGAAAUUAAAACAGAGACUUCACUUCAUGAGUGUGUGUGAUGUCUAAUGCCGGUUUUAUAGAAUUAUGUGGAAACCUCAUGCAAAUUUGCCUUCAGGC